GCUUCGUCAGUGUCCACUUCUGCUCUGGCUGUGUUCAUGCUAUUCUCAGGAUGGAUUCUGGCCAAAAGGUGAUCAAGGCAGUGAUACAAGGGCCUAGCUCUUUCAGCCCAUUAUGGGAGUGCUCUAAUGGAAAAGUUCUGUUCUGGAAUUCCCUGUUGGGUUGGCCAAAGCAUUAUUAGAUUGGUGUACUGAUCUGAUAACUCUCCCUGCUCAAAUCUUUUUCCCCAUUUUUCCUUUCACUGAUAUUACUUGUCAAUAAACUGUUACGUUCUUCACUUCAUCUUAGUGUCUACUUCCUUGAGAACUCAACCAGUGACACAGGCUCUAGAGUGUUCAUAAUUUCAGUGUAUACAGCAGGUAUGUCAGCGGCAUGAUGGGCUAGAAGGCAAGGGUAGAGAGGUAUUACUACUAUUAUCGCUUCUCUGACUUUGGAUAUUGACAGGCAAAAAUGACGUGUAGGGUCUCUGUUGGAGAAAGGGACCACAUGGGCAAAGACUCGGGGCUAUCACCAGUUUGACCAUUCUGUAGAGUGUGUUGUGUUUGACACAACUUCAGGGCAGUUGUGAAGGGACUUGUGUCUAGAAAGGUAGUUUGAGGUCAGCCUUGAAUACCAAGCUAAAGACUGUGGGUUUUAUUUUUUAAGGGGUUGCUACAUUGGAAACAAGGUCAUGCUUAAUGUGCUUUGUGGGAUUAUCUGGUUUUGGCCCACAAUGGGAUUUGUGUGUUAAAUUUGUCUAAGCAGAAGUUAAUUAAUAAGCAGGUAUUAAUGUAUUUGAGUUUACCUUGGAAAUUUGCUUUUUAAAUAUAGGAUUAAGUAGGGGAGGGAAGCACAUUUCAGGCUGGAAAGUCAGCUGAGUUAUAGCCCUCUGGUCCCUCUGCAGCCUGUCAGCUUCCUUUCCUGCCCCCAAAUCCCAGGUUCCUUGGAAAUAACAGAGGAACAACACUGCAGCAAAUGCAUACUUUAUUCCAGACAGAAGAGGCUUGACUAUUCUUUCAAAAGAACUAGUAAGACUGGAAGGUUAAUUCCUCAGAUCCUCCCUCAUGUAACAUGGUAUAGAGAUUUCCAGAAGCAGAAAAGAGCUACAGUGAGCUUCCCAGGGGCUUGGCUGAAGAAGAGCUACAGUCUGGCUGGAGAAUGUAGCUCCAGUUAAUAUUAACUCUUUUCCUCCUCAAUCAUUUAGCAAGUGUUUAUAGAUUGCCUAUGCACUUCACCCUGUAAUUGAAAUUAUGAAAAGAAAUUAUGCAGGAAAUAAGGGAAGACUGUAUUUAGUCCCAAUUAAUCUUUACUUAUCUGCAGUCUGUACCAGAUCAUAAGCUCCCUGAGGACAGCAUUUGUACCAUUUAUCCCUGUAUCCUCUGUGCCUAGUGCAGAACAAGGAACACAUCAGAAGCUUAUUAACUACUUCUUGACUAAAAGAGUAAUGAAUAUAAAAAUUAUCAUGUAAAAAAUAAGAAAAUAAUAAAGUCCUUUAUAUAAAUAGUUCAUUGAUUCAACCAAUGUUUUUGGAGUGCUUCUCUAUGAUCA
rnacentral:lncRNA from 1 species